rnacentral:rRNA from 1 species
ACGCUCGACACCUACGGUAGGCAGCAGUAGGGAAUCUUCCACAAUGGACGCAAGUCUGAUGGAGCAACGCCGCGUGAGUGAAGAAGGUCUUCGGAUCGUAAAACUCUGUUGUUAGAGAAGAACACGAGUGAGAGUAACUGUUCAUUCGAUGACGGUAUCUAACCAGCAAGUCACGGCUAACUACGUGCCAGGAGCCGCGGUAAUCUGAGCGGGCUGGCAAGGC